CGGGGCCUCUCUCAAACAACGGACCUGCAUGGUGGCCCCGAACAAAGGAACAAACAAUUCAGACUGGCAGGUGGCAGCAUUGUCGCUUCAAAGCAAUAAGGUUCUUCGUUGGAAUCCAAGUUUGGACCAACCAACCAACCAACCAAGGAGGCUGACGGACGGAGGUCUGUGGUAACUGAACUGAACAGGACGGGCGGAGAUUCCAGGUUGGACUGAUCUCCAGGCACUGAGCAGGGCAGGCAGGUGAGGUCAAGGGGAGACUGGUUCAAACUGCUUUAACAUGACAAGUGAGGUCGAGCCGCAUUGGACCUAUCAAGUCAGUAUUAAGAUUCAAGGGAUUCAUUUGUC